rnacentral:rRNA from 1 species
UAUUGGUCAAUGGGGGAAACCCUGAACCAGCAACGCCGCGUGAGGGAAGACGGUUUUCGGAUUGUAAACCUCUGUCCCCUGUGAAGAUGAUGACGGUAGCAGAGGAGGAAGCUCCGGCUAACUACUUGCCAGCAGCCGCGGUAAUACGUAGGGAGCGAGCGUUGUCCGGAGUUACUGGGUGUAAAGGGUGCGUAGGCGGCUGUGCAAGUCAGUAGUGAAAUCCAUGGGCUUAACCCAUGAACUGCUAUUGAAACUGCACAGCUUGAGUGAAGUAGAGGUAGGCGGAAUUCCCGGUGUAGCGGUGAAAUGCGUAGAGAUCGGGAGGAACACCAGUGGCGAAGGCGGCCUACUGGACUUUAACUGACGCUGGGGGACGAAAGCGUGGGUAGCAAACAGGA